rnacentral:rRNA from 1 species
CCUACGGGAGGCAGCAGUGAGGAAUAUUGCGCAAUGCCCGAAAGGGUGACGCAGCGACGCCGCGUGGAGGAUGAAGGCCCUAUGGGUCGUAAACUCCUGAUGGAGAGGAAGAAUGUCCCGAACUUGUUCGGGAUUGACGGUACUCUCCAAGAAAGGACCGGCCAACUACGUGCCAGCAGCCGCGGUAAUACGUAGGGUCCGAGCGUUGUCCGGAAUCACUGGGUGUAAAGGGCGCGCAAGCGGGUAAGCAAGUCGGUGCUGAAAGCUGUCCGCUCAACGGACAAAUUGGUGCCGAUACUGUUUAUCUUGAGUGCGGAAGAGGGUGAUGGAAUUCCUGGUGUAGCGGUAAAAUGCGUAGAUAUCAGGAGGAACACCAGUGGCGAAGGCGGCUCCCUGGCCUACCCCUGACGCUGAGGCGCGAAAGCGUGGGGAGCAAACGGGAUUAGAUACCCCUGUAGU